rnacentral:rRNA from 1 species
UACGUAGGGGGCAAGCGUUGUCCGGAAUCAUUGGGCGUAAAGCGCGUGUAGGCGGCUCGAUAAGUCUGCUGUGAAAGUCCAGGGCUCAACCCUGGGAUGCCGGUGGAUACUGUCGGGCUCGAGUCCGGAAGAGGAGUGUGGAAUUCCUGGUGUAGCGGUGAAAUGCGCAGAUAAUCAGGAGGAACACCAAUGGCGAAGGCAGCUCGCUGGGACGGUACUGACGCUGAGACGCGAAAGCGUGGGGAGCAAACAGG